CAGUAGCCGCGGUAAUACAGAGGUCCCGAGCGUUGUUCGGAUUCACUGGGCGUAAAGGGUGUGUAGGAGGUUGGAUAAGUCAGGUGUGAAAUCCCGCAGCUCAACUGCGGAACUGCAUUCGAUACUGUUCAACUAGAGGAUCGGAGGGGGAAGCGGAAUUCUUGGUGUAGCGGUGAAAUGCGUAGAUAUCAAGAGGAACACCGGUGGCGAAGGCGGCUUCCUGGAAGAUACCUGACUCUGAAACGCGAAAGCCAGGGGAGCGAAUGGGAUUAGAGACCCCCGUAGUCCCUGUCUCUUAUAC
rnacentral:rRNA from 1 species